GGGGGCGUAGCUCAGCUGGCUAGAGCGCCACGUUGACAUCGUGGAGGUCACAGGUUCAAGUCCUGUCGCUCCCA
rnacentral:tRNA from 1 species